rnacentral:lncRNA from 1 species
ACCACCACCAGCCCCACUGCCGAGCAGCUACAUCUCCUCCUCCCUUUUCUUUUCCUUUCUUUUUUUCCUUUUCUUUUCACCUCAAAACUACUUUGCAAAAUAUACACAAAAAUGAGUUCCCAAACACACUUUGCAUUCCCCAAAUGUCCAUUCACUCAAGGAUACUUGGGGAAAUGCAAAGCCAUUUCCCCAAAGUUGAACCAAACGGGACCUUCGACUCUUAAAGAUUUUUAUGAUUCUUCUGUAAGUCGUAUAAGCUGGUGGGUUCACUACCUAGGUUCCACCCCCUUUAAGGGUUCAAGAUAUGGAGACGAUGUGCGCGGAAUGCGGAAGGGAGCCCCAAAAAAGCUCCCUCAGAUGUCAAAAUUAGGUGGAAUUCCACCUAUCUGAUGUUGCAGAAGGCCUGAAUUCAGAUGGAUGUCUUGACCUCGUUUUCUUUCCAUUUUUACAGGUUGAUUGGAGGGUUGCCAAACGAUUCAAGCACCUCCUGGAGGUGUUCAACGACGCCACAGAUGUGCACUAAAAAGACAUCAGGCUCUACCAGAAAGUUUAUUAAAUAAAAGAACAUUAAAGCUAGUGACUCAUCUAGGGGGCAUAAUGAGGAAUACAUACAUACAUACAUAUAUGCAUGUUUAAAAGUGUGUACAUAUGUCAUGUAUAUAUCUGGUAUGCCAGGCAAUUGAUAAACAUUAUCCAGGUAUUAUACCCAUUUAUAUUAGAGAUUGAUGGAUGGAUGAUUCCCAAAGGUUC